ensembl:rRNA 5S_rRNA 5S ribosomal RNA
GUCUAUGGCCAUACCAUCCUGAAUGUACCCGAUCUCUUCUGAUCUUGGGAUCUAAGCAGGACUGGGCCUGGUUAGUACUCGGAUGGGAGAUAAAGGGUUCUUCCAACUCAUAGUCCCAGGGCACAGUCCAUC